rnacentral:rRNA from 1 species
AAUUUUUCACAAUGGGCGAAAGCCUGAUGGAGCGACGCCGCGUGGGGGAUGAAUGGCUUCGGCCCGUAAACCCCUGUCAUUUGCGAACAAACCACUUUAUUUAAAAGAUGAAGUGCUGAUUGUAGCGAAAGAGGAAGGGACGGCUAACUCUGUGCCAGCAGCCGCGGUAAUACAGAGGUCCCAAGCGUUGUUCGGAUUCACUGGGCGUAAAGGGUGCGUAGGUGGUCGGGUAAGUCUGAGGUGAAAUCUCCGAGCUUAACUCGGAAACUGCCUUGGAUACUAUUCGGCUUGAGGGUUGGAGGGGGGACUGGAAUUCUCGGUGUAGCAGUGAAAUGCGUAGAUAUCGAGAGGAACACCAGUGGCGAAGGCGAGUCCCUGGACAACUCCUGACGCUGAGGCACGAAAGCUAGGGGAGCAAAC